AAUCAACGCUGGCGGCGUGCCUAACACAUGCAAGUCGAACGCGAAAGUCCCGCAAGGGAUUAGUAGAGUGGCAAACGGGUGAGUAACACGUGGGUGACCUGCCUUCGAGUGGGGGAUAACGUCCCGAAAGGGACGCUAAUACCGCAUGACAUCCUGCUUUUUAACAGGCGGAGAUCAAAGCUGGGGAUCGCAAGACCUAGCGCUUGAAGAGGGGCCCGCGUCUGAUUAGCUAGUGGUGAGGUAACGGCUCACCAAGGCGACGAUCAGUAUCCGGCCUGAGAGGGCGGGACGGACACACUGGGACUGAGACACGGCCCAGACUCCUACGGGAGGCAGCAGUGGGGAAUUGUUCGCAAUGGGCGCAAGCCUGACGACGCAACGCCGCGUGGAGGAUGAAGAUCUUCGGGUCGUAAACUCCUUUCAUCGAGACGAACGGCUCCUGGGCGAAUAU
rnacentral:rRNA from 1 species